rnacentral:rRNA from 1 species
UACGUAGGGUGCAAGCGUUAAUCGGAAUUACUGGGCGUAAAGCGUGCGCAGGCGGUUUUGUAAGUCUGUCGUGAAAUCCCCGGGCUCAACCUGGGAAUUGCGAUGGAGACUGCAAGGCUAGAAUCUGGCAGAGGGGGGUAGAAUUCCACGUGUAGCAGUGAAAUGCGUAGAGAUGUGGAGGAACACCGAUGGCGAAGGCAGCCCCCUGGGUCAAGAUUGACGCUCAUGCACGAAAGGCGUGGGGAAUCAAACAGGACUUAGAAACCCGAGUC